GAUGAACGCUGGCGGCGUGCCUAAUACAUGCAAGUCGAGCGAACGGACGAGAAGCUUGCUUCUCUGAUGUUAGCGGCGGACGGGUGAGUAACACGUGGAUAACCUACCUAUAAGACUGGGAUAACUUCGGGAAACCGGAGCUAAUACCGGAUAAUAUUUUGAACCGCAUGGUUCAAAAGUGAAAGACGGUCUUGCUGUCACUUAUAGAUGGAUCCGCGCUGCAUUAGCUAGUUGGUAAGGUAACGGCUUACCAAGGCAACGAUGCAUAGCCGACCUGAGAGGGUGAUCGGCCACACUGGAACUGAGACACGGUCCAGACUCCUACGGGAGGCAGCAGUAGGGAAUCUUCCGCAAUGGGCGAAAGCCUGACGGAGCAACGCCGCGUGAGUGAUGAAGGUCUUCGGAUCGUAAAACUCUGUUAUUAGGGAAGAACAUAUGUGUAAGUAACUGUGCACAUCUUGACGGUACCUAAUCAGAAAGCCACGGCUAACUACGUGCCAGCAGCCGCGGUAAUACGUAGGUGGCAAGCGUUAUCCGGAAUUAUUGGGCGUAAAGCGCGCGUAGGCGGUUUUUUAAGUCUGAUGUGAAAGCCCACGGCUCAACCGUGGAGGGUCAUUGGAAACUGGAAAACUUGAGUGCAGAAGAGGAAAGUGGAAUUCCAUGUGUAGCGGUGAAAUGCGCAGAGAUAUGGAGGAACACCAGUGGCGAAGGCGACUUUCUGGUCUGUAACUGACGCUGAUGUGCGAAAGCGUGGGGAUCAAACAGGAUUAGAUACCCUGGUAGUCCACGCCGUAAACGAUGAGUGCUAAGUGUUAGGGGGUUUCCGACCCUUAGUGCUGCAGCUAACGCAUUAAGCACUCCGCCUGGGGAGUACGACCGCAAGGUUGAAACUCAAAGGAAUUGACGGGGACCCGCACAAGCGGUGGAGCAUGUGGUUUAAUUCGAAGCAACGCGAAGAACCUUACCAAAUCUUGACAUCCUUUGACAACUCUAGAGAUAGAGCCUUCCCCUUCGGGGGACAAAGUGACAGGUGGUGCAUGGUUGUCGUCAGCUCGUGUCGCGAGAUGUUGGGUUAAGUCCCGCAACGAGCGCAACCCUUAAGCUUAGUUGCCAUCAUUAAGUUGGGCACUCUAAGUUGACUGCCGGUGACAAACCGGAGGAAGGUGGGGAUGACGUCAAAUCAUCAUGCCCCUUAUGAUUUGGGCUACACACGUGCUACAAUGGACAAUACAAAGGGCAGCGAAACCGCGAGGUCAAGCAAAUCCCAUAAAGUUGUUCUCAGUUCGGAUUGUAGUCUGCAACUCGACUACAUGAAGCUGGAAUCGCUAGUAAUCGUAGAUCAGCAUGCUACGGUGAAUACGUUCCCGGGUCU
rnacentral:rRNA from 1 species